UAGUCCACGCCGUAAACGAUGUUCACUCGCUGUUUGCGAUACACAGUAAGCGGCUGAGCGAAAGCAUUAAGUGAACCACCUGGGGAGUACGAUCGCAAGGUUGAAACUCAAAGGAAUUGACGGGGGCCCGCACAAGCGGAGGAACAUGUGGUUUAAUUCGAUGAUACGCGAGGAACCUUACCUGGGCUACAAUGCCUCUGCUACACCCUGAAAGGGGUGGUUCCUUCGGGACAGAGUGCAAGGUGCUGCAUGGCUGUCGUCAGCUCGUGUCGUGAGAUGUUGGGUUAAGUCCCGCAACGAGCGCAACCCUUGUCUUUAGUUGCCAUCAUUAAGUUGGGCACUUUAAAGAGACUGCCGUGACAAACCGGAGGAAGGUAAGGAUGACGUCAAGUCAGCAUGCCCCUUAUGCUCUGGGCUACACACGUGCUACAAUGGCCGUGACAAAGAGUUGCUACUUUGUGAAAACAAGCUAAUCUCAUAAACGCGGCCUCAGUUCGGAUUG
rnacentral:rRNA from 1 species